AUUGAACGCUGGCGGCAGGCCUAACACAUGCAAGUCGACCGAGUGGCGGACGGGUGAGUACUGUCUGGGAAACUGCACGAUGGAGGGGGAUCACUACUGGAAACGGUAGCUAAUACCGCAUACCAUCGGAUGUGCCCAGAGGGGAUUAGCUAGUAGGUGGGGUACCGGCUCACCUAGGCGACGAUCCCUAUCUGGUCGGAGAGGAUGACCAGCCAGACUGGAAGUGAGACACGGUCCAGAGUCCUACGGGAGGCAGCAGUGGGGAAUAUUGCACAAUGGGCGCAAGCCUGAUGCAGCCAUGCCGCGUGUAUGAAGAAGGCCUUCGGGUUGUAAAGUACUUUCAGCGAGGAGGCGUUACUCGCAGAAGAAGCACCGGCUAACUCCGUGCCAGCAGCCGCGGUAAUUC
rnacentral:rRNA from 1 species